rnacentral:rRNA from 1 species
AAAUUGAAGAGUUUGAUCAUGGCUCAGAUUGAACGCUGGCGGCAGGCCUAACACAUGCAAGUCGAGCGGUAGCACAGAGAGCUUGCUCUCGGGUGACGAGCGGCGGACGGGUGAGUAAUGUCUGGGAAACUGCCUGAUGGAGGGGGAUAACUACUGGAAACGGUAGCUAAUACCGCAUAACGUCGCAAGACCAAAGUGGGGGACCUUCGGGCCUCAUGCCAUGAGAUGUGCCCAGAUGGGAUUAGCUAGUAGGUGGGGUAACGGCUCACCUAGGCGACGAUCCCUAGCUGGUCUGAGAGGAUGACCAGCCACACUGGAACUGAGACACGGUCCAGACUCCUACGGGAGGCAGCAGUGGGGAAUAUUGCACAAUGGGCGCAAGCCUGAUGCAGCCAUGCCGCGUGUGUGAAGAAGGCCUUCGGGUUGUAAAGCACUUUCAGCGGGGAGGAAGGCGGUGAGGUUAAUAACCUCAUCGAUUGACGUUACCCGCAGAAGAAGCACCGGCUAACUCCGUGCCAGCAGCCGCGGUAAUACGGAGGGUGCAAGCGUUAAUCGGAAUUACUGGGCGUAAAGCGCACGCAGGCGGUCUGUCAAGUCGGAUGUGAAAUCCCCGGGCUCAACCUGGGAACUGCAUUCGAAACUGGCAGGCUAGAGUCUUGUAGAGGGGGGUAGAAUUCCAGGUGUAGCGGUGAAAUGCGUAGAGAUCUGGAGGAAUACCGGUGGCGAAGGCGGCCCCCUGGACAAAGACUGACGCUCAGGUGCGAAAGCGUGGGGAGCAAACAGGAUUAGAUACCCUGGUAGUCCACGCCGUAAACGAUGUCGAUUUGGAGGUUGUGCCCUUGAGGCGUGGCUUCCGGAGCUAACGCGUUAAAUCGACCGCCUGGGGAGUACAGCCGCAAGGUUAAAACUCAAAUGAAUUGACGGGGGCCCGCACAAGCGGUGGAGCAUGUGGUUUAAUUCGAUGCAACGCGAAGAACCUUACCUGGUCUUGACAUCCACAGAACUUUCCAGAGAUGGAUUGGUGCCUUCGGGAACUGUGAGACAGGUGCUGCAUGGCUGUCGUCAGCUCGUGUUGUGAAAUGUUGGGUUAAGUCCCGCAACGAGCGCAACCCUUAUCCUUUGUUGCCAGCGGUUAGGCCGGGAACUCAAAGGAGACUGCCAGUGAUAAACUGGAGGAAGGUGGGGAUGACGUCAAGUCAUCAUGGCCCUUACGACCAGGGCUACACACGUGCUACAAUGGCAUAUACAAAGAGAAGCGACCUCGCGAGAGCAAGCGGACCUCAUAAAGUAUGUCGUAGUCCGGAUUGGAGUCUGCAACUCGACUCCAUGAAGUCGGAAUCGCUAGUAAUCGUAGAUCAGAAUGCUACGGUGAAUACGUUCCCGGGCCUUGUACACACCGCCCGUCACACCAUGGGAGUGGGUUGCAAAAGAAGUAGGUAGCUUAACCUUCGGGAGGGCGCUUACCACUUUGUGAUUCAUGACUGGGGUGAAGUCGUAACAAGGUAACCGUAGGGGAACCUGCGGUUGGAUCACCUCCUUA